ACCACGCAUUCUUUGGGGGGGUCGUGUCCCCCCCAAUGUUGAGAAAAUACUAACCUGUCCCCCCCAAUAUACAGCAGGAUAAAAUGUAAAAUAUAUGUUCUCUUUUUAUGAACCCUGUCAAUGGAUCGGUCUCUUGUUAUGUCUUAUUUAUUUUUAUUUCAAUUUAUUUCCGUUUGUUAAGUGUGUAAAUCCCCCCUCCUAAUUGUACACUUGUGCGAUUUAGUUUGAAACCACCUCGCGACUUUCUGCGUUGUCAUGGUUACCCCACACUCUUUCUUCAGUGAGAGCCAAGAAAUAAAAGUAAAGUUGAGUAAUGGAGGAUUUGAGGUUACCUAAAAAGCAGAAGAAACUGGACCAACAGCCAAGCAUACGCAGUUUUUUUUCAGACAGCAGCACAGAGAGAGAAGGAGAGAGACAGGCAUGCUGAAAGCAGUGACCAGACAGGGACAUGCUCUGAACAUGCAGGUGAUCAGGUGAGUCAUUUGAAUGUAAGUAACGUUAUUUAACGUGUUGGAGAGGAGGUAACGGACAAUUUAAGGUUACUUAAAAAGCGGAUAAAACUGGACCAGCAGCCGAGCGUACACGUUUUUUUUUUCUCCAGACAAUUAGUAGCUUGAUACCGAGCUAAAUGUGUGAGCAAAUAAAACGAGUAGCCUAAUUAAAAUAUGAGACAUUACAUUAUUACAUGCUUUGGGUAUGUGGUAUUUUUCCAUUGGAAGCUAUCCUUUUUGCUACAGUACUACUGGAAGAGCACAAUUGUAAUUGGUAGGUGUGUUUAAGGUCAGUAAGCAACUAACCAAAACAAAGUGUGUGUGUAUGUGUGUGGGGGGGGGGGGGGGGGGCGGGGCAGACAUUA